rnacentral:lncRNA from 1 species
AACAAGACUAACAUUGGAUUUCCACAGCUCUUUCGGCAGUGGGCUGGAAAGUGCUAUUAAAACAUGGCUGUUUCAUAAUUUCCCUAUUGGAAAUGCGGUCUCACUACGUUGCCCAGGCUGGUCUUGAAUUCCUGGUCUCAAGCAGUCCUCCCACCUAAGCCUCCCAAAGUGCUGGGAUUACAGAAAAUGGUAAACAAGGGAAAGAAAGAGGAGUUCCAGACCCUGCAUACCAAAAUAUUACAGACACACAGGAAAUGACUCUUCAAAUCCAGGCUGUAAACCUGUCAUUUCGUGGGCUUGUCUGUGGGCCUAGAAAAGCGAGACAAAGAUCACACCGAAGACAUUACUGUUUGGGGCUGGCUGUACUGGAGGACCUCUGGAGGCCUUUCCAUGCCAGGUGCUAUGAUUCUAAACUCAAGUCAUAAAAUGAAAUGUUAGAGGAAAGCCAAUGAAAUUUGAGGCAGAACUUGUGGCUUAAAGCUCAUUUUGCUUUAAAAAAUGUAGACUUUGAAAAACUGUUCUUUACAAGCAACAAAAAUUUUUUAAAGAAACUGAAAAGCUAAAAAAUAUUUUUUGGGGGGAGGGAGUAAUAUUCUCAGCCCUAUUACUAUCUUUUAAGGCUUUCGAUUACAGAUACUCCAAACAUGUAAUAAGUUACUAAGUCCUUAAAAUAUGUAUUAAUCUUCCUAAAAGAUUUGCAUAUUGACUUUAAUCCACGUAAAAGAUGUUUCUGGUGUAUUUAACCAAUGCUGCUCGUCUGUUUAGUGAAAUGGUUUUGGAUCCAUUAAUUCUCCAAAUAUUUGUAUUCUGAGUGCCUUCUAAGGAUAAGACAUUCUUUGAAUCAAACACACACAAAGAACUAAGCCAAUCUAAUGGUUAAUGCAGUCAUUCCUCCCUCCUCCAGCUUAAUGUACUGGCCCCGGAGCCAGAAUGCCUGGGUUUCCCAGCUCCAGUGCCUUGAACAAAUUACAUAACCUCUCUGUACCAGUUCUCUCCCCUGAAAAGUAGGGUUAGUAAUAGCACCUACCUCAUCAAACUAAAUGACUCAAUACAUGUAAAGCAUGUAGAAAAAUGCCUGGCACAUAGCAAGCAUUCAAUAAAUGUUGGCUAUUCAUUUUGUGCCCAGUAUGAGGGAAAGCAAUGUAGAGGUGGAUAUGGAGAUAAAUAAAACAAAGUGCAUUAAAGAGGGAAUAUUUCAACUGGUUCUUGGAGAAAAUACGGAGUUCACAAGGAAGACAAAAAAGGGCCAAGUCAAGCAAAUGGUGUGAGUGAAGGCACAGAACCACGAAACUAAAUAGCAUAUCUGGGGAAUUGUAAAUGAUUCAUUAGAGCUAGAUUAAGAGGCAUGUGACAUAUGCUGCCUCCAUCCAAAAGCAAAGAUUUUAAAAAAGAGAGAGAAAAAAUAGAGGCACAUGGGAAUGAGGGAGUAGAAACCACAGGAUUUACUGACCAAACCUAUGUGAUAGGAAGUGAGGUAGAGCAGGUUUCUGGGUUUAUGGUGAUGCCAUUAAUCAGAAACAAAAUGUGGUACAUGGUGUGACCUUUGACACAAUGUGUUUGGACAUACAGUAUGGGAGGGACCUUUAAGAACCAAGUGGAGAUGUACAAUUGGAUACACAAAUCUAGGCUUUAUAAGAGCACUCUGGCAAGCCAUACAGUAUAGGGGAUCAUCAAAGUGUUACUGAUUGUAGUAGCCAUGAACUUGGUUGAAAUCUUCAAGAACAAGGGUAGAGAAUGAGAAGAAUAACAAUGUAGACUACACUGGCAACCAGGGGCAGUUGGAAGAGAAGGAACCAGAGAAAAUAGAACCAGAAUAGCAUGGAGCCCUGGAAGAAACCAAAAGAGUAAAUCAGUUUUGCACUAAUUGAUGGUUUUAGUGGAAAAAUGACAGAAAACCCAAUUCAAACUUGUUUACAUUGUUAAUAAGACAUAUUGGCCCAUAUAACUGAAAACACAAGCCUCUGGAUGGGGGGAUAGCAUUAUACCAAGACAAAUGAGAAUCAACCCUAAGCCAGGGGUGAGGAAUUCAGCUUACUUGCAACAUUUAGCAGUCAUAUUGAGUGCCUACUAUGUGCCAGGCAUUGUUCUAGUCAAUGAACAAAACAGGCAAAAAGUCCCUUGUCUGUGGACAGAACACACAAAUGCCUCUUGGUAUCUCCCCACACUCUCUUUUCAUUGAAAGGCAAUGCUUCAAAAAAUUGGAAAAAUUAUCUAUGUGGAGGAAGAUGAAGAGAGAAAACUUUAGAAUGUAAUGCAAAUUCCAAAACAUUUGCUGGGAAUUUUAACACGAUUUUGUAGGAAUAUGUGAAACUUCUGUACUAUUAUGAAAUGGAGGGGUGACAUAGGGAAGCAGUACAGUAUGGAUAAAAAUUCUAAAAUUCCAAAAUACCACCCAUGUUUUAAAGUCCAGUUAUGAAUUCAGAUUAGUCAGUUUUUGACUUAAUCAAAUUGAGUUGCUGCAUUUAUUCGGAUUAUAUAGACCUGUAAAAAUACUUAGAGGUUUCAAAUGUCUCUGGUAGAGCUUUGUACCUAACUUGUGUGACAUAUUUUAAAUGUAGAUUAUGUUCAAACCUGCAUUAAUCCAUUCAUAUUUUAAAUUUAAAAAUAUAAUUAGCAAUAAAAGAAAGCCUCAUGCUCAGCUAUUAUAUCCAACUAAGCACUACCAGUUUCUCCAUCCCUCUCU